rnacentral:lncRNA from 1 species
AGUGCUCUCGUUAAUUGCUUCAGUUUCCUUGGCUUCAAUUUCCUUCACCUCUUCCGCUGGCAGGUCACCUGCUGAUCUGUUUUCUUCCACCUCGUCAGGUUCGACAUUCUCGAGCUCUUGUAGUUCUGACACUUGUGCUUGUGGUAUAUCAACUGCUGCCUCAGCUGCUACUACAUGCUCUUCUGGAGCUGCCUCAUCUGCACGAGUAACAUUACUUUUCACAUCCUCAGUGAGUUCACUGAUGUUUGCAUCAGUGCUUUCGGUUAUUGCUUCUGUUUCUUUGGCUUCAGCGUCCUUCACCUCUUCUGCCGGCAGGUCACUUGCUGAUAUGUUUUCUUCCACUUCAACAGGUUCAGUAUUCUUGAUUUCUUCUAGUUCUGGAUCUUGUGCUUGUGGUAUGUCAACUGUUGCCUCAGUUGCUAUCACAUGCUCUUCAGGAUCUGCCUCGUCAACAUUAGUUUUGACAUCCUCAGUGAGCUCACUGAUGUUCUCAUCAGUGCUCUCAUUGAUUGCUUCAGAGUUCUUCACCUCUUCUGUCUGCAUGUCACUUGCUGACAUGUUUUCUUCCACCUCAACAGGUUCAGUAUUCUUGAUCUCUUCUAGUUCCAGCUCCUGUGCUUGUGGUAUGUUAACUGUUGCCUCAGUUGCUAUUACAUGUUCUUCAGGAGCUGCCUCGUCUGCAAGCGCAACAUUAGUUUUGACAUCCUCACUGAGCUCACUGAUGUUCGCAUCAGUGCUCUCGUUGAUUGCUUCAGUGUCCUUCACCUCUUCUGCCUGCAUGUCACUUGCUGACAUCUUUUCUUCCACUUCAACAGGUUCAGUAUUCUUUAUCUCUUCUACUUCUGGCUCUUGUACUUGUGGCAUAUCAACUGUAUCAUCAGCUACUGUUAUAUGUUCUUCAGGAGCUGCCUCAUCUGCAAGAGCAACAUUGUUUUUCACAUCUUCAGUGAGCUCAGUGUUGUUUGCAUCAGUGUUCUCAUUGAUUGCUUCAGUCUCUAUGGCUUCAGUAUCCUUCACCUCUUCUGCUGGCAGAUAAUUUGCUGAUAUGUUUUCUUCCACUUCAGCAGGCUCAGUACUCUUGGUCUCUUCUAGUUCUGGCCCUUGUGCUUCUGGUAUGUCAACUGUUGCCUCAGUUGCUAUUACAUGCUCUUCAGGAGCUGCCUCGUCUGCAGGAACAACAUUGCUUGUCACAUCCUCAGGUAGCUCACUGGUGUUUGCAACAGUUCUCUCGUUGAUUGCUUCAGUUUCCUUCACCUCUUCUGCUUGCAGGUCACUUGCUGAUCUAUUUUCUUCCACCUCAACAGGUUCAGUAUUCUCGAUCUCUUCUAGUUCCGGCUCCUGUGCUUGUGGUAUGUCAACUGUUCUCUCAGUUACUGUUACCUGCUCUGCAUGAGGUUCCUCGUCUGCAAGUGCAACAUUGCUUUUCACAUCCUCAUUGAGCUCGCUGAUGUUUGCAUCAGUCCUUUCGCUGAUUGCUUCAGUUUCCUUGGGUUCAAUUUCCUUGACCUCUUCUGCUGACAGGUCACCUGCUUCAGUAUUCUUGAUCUUUUCUAGCUCCGGCUCUUGUGCUUGUGGUAUAUCGGCUGUUGUCUCGGCUACUGUUACAUGUUCUUCAUGAGCUGCCUCAUCUAUAAGAGCAACGUUGCUUUUCAUAUCUUCAGUAAGCUCACUGAUGUUUGCAUCACUGCUCUCGUUGAUUGCAUCAGUUUCCUUGGCUUCAGUGUCCUUCACCUCUUCUGCCAGCAUGUCAUUAGCUGAUGCGUUUUCUUCCACCUCAACAGGUUCAACAUUCUCAAUCUCUUCUAGGUCUGGCUCUUGUGCUCGUGGAAUAUCAACUGUUGCCUCAGUUGCUGUUACAUGCUCUUCAGGAGCUGCCUCGUCUGCAGGAGUAACAUUGCUUGUCACAUUCCCGGUGAGCUCGCUGAUGUUUGCAUCAGUGCUCUCGUUAAUUGCUUCAGUUUCCUUGGCUUCAAUUUCCUUCACCUCUUCUGCUGGCAGGUCACCUGUUGAUCUGUUUUCUUCUACCUCGUCAGGUUCAACAUUCUCGAGCUCUUGUAGUUCUGACACUUGUGCUUGUGGUAUAUCAACUGCUGCCUCAGCUGCUGUUACAUGCUCUUCUGGAGCUGCCUCAUCUGCACGAGUAACAGUACUUUUCACAUCCUCAGUGAGUUCACUGAUGUUUGCAUCAGUGCUCUCAGUUAUUGCUUCUGUUUCUUUGGCUUCAGCGUCCUUCACCUCUUCUGCCGGCAGGUCACUUGCUGAUAUGUUUUCUUCCACUUCAACAGUUUCAGUAUUCUUGAUUUCUUCUAGUUCUGGAUCUUGUGCUUGCGGUAUGUCAACUGUUGCCUCAGUUGCUAUCACAUGUUCUUCAGGAGCUGCCUCGUCUGCAAGAGCAACAUCAGUUUUGACAUCCUCAGUGAGCUCACUGAUGUUCGCAUCAGUGCUCUCAUUGAUUGCUUCAGUAGGUUUCACCUCUUCUGCCUGCAUGUCACUUGCUGACAUGUUUUCUUCCACCUCAACAGGUUCAGUAUUCUUGAUCUCUUCUAGUUCCAGCUCCUGUGGUUGUGGUAUAUCAACUGCUGUCUCAGCUACUGUUACAUGCUCUUCAUGAGGUUCCUCGUCUGCAAGAGCAACAUUGCAUUUCACCUCCUCUGUGAGCUCACUGAUGUUUGCAUCAGCACUCUCGUUGAUUUCUUCAGUGUCCUUCACCUCUUCUGCUGGCAGGUCACUUGCUGAUAUGUUUUCUUCCACUUCAACAGGUUCAGUAUUCUUCAUCUCUUCUACUUCUGGCUCUUGUGCUUGUGGCAUAUCAAAUGUAUCAUCAGCUACUGUUACAUGUUCUUC